UGGCUCAGGAUGAACGCUAGCUACAGGCUUAACACAUGCAAGUCGAGGGGCAGCGGGAAGUUAGCUUGCUAACUUGCCGGCGACCGGCGCACGGGUGAGUAACGCGUAUCCAACCUUCCCCUUAGUAGGGCAUAGCCCGGCGAAAGUCGGAUUAAUACCCUAUGUUAUCCGAAGAUGGCAUCUGAAUUGGAUUAAGAUUUAUCGCUAAGGGAUGGGGAUGCGUCUGAUUAGGUAGUCGGCGGGGUAACGGCCACCGAGCCAGCGAUCAGUAGGGUCUGAGAGGAAGGUCCCCCACAUUGGUACUGAGACACGGACCAAACUCCUACGGGAGGCAGCAGUGAGGAAUAUUGGUCAAUGGGCGAGAGCCUGAACCAGCCAAGUAGCGUGCCAGGAAGACGGCCCUAUGGGUUGUAAACUGCUUUUGCAGGGGAAUAAAGUGAGGCACGUGUGCCUUUUUGUAUGUACCCUGAGAAUAAGGACCGGCUAAUUCCGUGCCAGCAGCUGC
rnacentral:rRNA from 1 species